AAGUGGACAUUUUAUGGACACAACUGCAGGGAGAGGGCCUGACAUUUAAUUUCAAAUUCAAAUUUUAAAGGAAGAGUCUAUAAAUGAGCUUUGGGCAAGGGUUCAUCCAGGUCCACAUAAUCAUGACUGCAAGCAGGGAAAAAGACAUGAAGGGGAAUAAUGUGGACUGCGACUAGAAUCCCUGAAUACUUACUAGCCAGAAAAGGACUGCUUUCAUCCCCAAUGAAGACGAAGAGUCCUGAAUGCUGAAAGAUGCAAAUUCUGAACAGAAGCAUCAUCUGUUUCUGUUUCCUCUUUUGUCCUCCUCUGCUCGGCCAGGACCACAAACUCUGGCUAAUGACUGCUCAAUUUGCUUGCUCCAUGUGGACCCAAAUCCUUGUACCCAAGUCUAGACAAGCCCAACCAAGUCCAACCAAGCCAAGCAGAGCCACAAAUCACCUAACAGACAGAUGAAGAAAUGAAAGUUUAUUGUUGCAACUGUUGAGUUUGGGGUUGUUUAUCACACAGCAUAAUCACAAUAAAAAGUGAUAAGUAA